UCAUCAGUCUCCACGUAUUACCCAAGCUCUGGCGGCCCCUUUAAGAACUCACCUGUAGCCGCCUCCUCCGAAGCCGAGCCGCCCUCCGUUCGCAGAACUGGUUUAAGUUUUGAUUGCAGCCCCGAGCGGGACUCCAGGACGCCCAGGACCUCGCUCCGGGGCUGUAGGAGAAUCACGGGAAGCUCUCCAAGUUACUGCCCAGGUCUUCGAGCCUCUUCUAGAUAACAAGACUCUCCCUGCUCUGAGGUUGAGAGAGAAGAAUUUGCCCAGGGUCAUCCAGUGUUGGUGACAAAACUGGAAACACGGAGAUCUUGUCUUUCAAAACCGGAAGACUCUUCCCAGUAAACUUGACAGCUUGUCACCGAGGCCAUAUCCUUGGGCUAGUAAAGGGAAGUGUCGGGAACCUUGUACUGUAACCAUAACAGUUAGUCAGAGGUGAUGGGGAUAGAAAUGAAUAAUAUCCAAGUCCAGCUCUCAAGGACCCACAGCCUGG
rnacentral:lncRNA from 1 species